AGCCCAGUCCUGCCACUCACCACCACAGGGUAUAGUUAAAUAUACCUGAGGGUGAAAAUGCCCCGAGCAGCAAAGCGACGCAUCAUGAAGAGGCUGCUGGGCACUGUGCUGGCGCUUUUGUGCACCCCGAUUUGCUGUGUGAGAGGGGUGCAGGUGGAGCAGAGUCCCACAGCCCUGAGUCUCCAGGAGGGAGCCAGUUCUACGCUGCGGUGCAAAUUUUCCACCUCUCUGAGCAUUGUGCAGUGGUUUCGCCAAAAUCCUGGGGGUGGUCUCAUCAACCUGUUUUACAUUACUUCAGGGACAAAGGUGAAUGGAAGAUUAACCGCUAAAAUAGACCCUAAAGAACGCAACAGCUCAUUGCAUAUUUCCUCUUCCCAGACCACAGACUCAGCCAUUUAUUUCUGUGCUGGGAGCCACAGUGUUCCCCAGGCACCUGCAGCCUGUACACAAACCCUCAGCUGGGCUCAGCUCCUCCUCCAACCUCAAUCACAUCACAAAACCACCACACAGCUUUUGCACAGCUUAAUACUCCUAACCCACAUCGGUAGGGUUUCAACCACAGAUACUUUGGGGCCUUACAGGUUGGAGACUUUGGUCUUUAUCUUUCCUUCUCAGUCUACUCCUCUUCCUGCACUAUAUACCUUUUACUUGGGACUAGCAAAGUAGCUGAUAAGAGGACAGAACUAAUAUAAAUAUUUAAGCCACAGUAUGCUGGAUUCCAAAAGAGUAAAAGGUGAAAGGAAUAAAAAGAACAGAAAAAUUACUCCAAUUAAGAUGUUAUUACACAAUCAUCCAGCUUAGUGGGUGUCUCAACGAUUUUCAGGUCAGCCUCACCAGAAUAUGUCCCAAGACAACUGCAGAUCCUUAUAUCCCAUACUACUAGAGCAGCACAGCAAACAAACAAAAAUUGCUGAAUGUUUAUAUAUUGACAAAUCUCUGGAAAAACUUUAAAAUGUAUAUUCCGUUCAACUAAGUCCCAUUGGUGUUCUCAAAGUUUGUUUUAUAUCCUAGGAUAUGGUCUAUCCUGGAGAAUGUUCCCUCCAUGCUUGAGAAGAAUGCGUAUCCUGUUGCUAUAGGAUGGAUGUCUGCUAGGUCUACUUGGUUUAUGGUGUUCAACUUUUCUGUUUCCUUGUUGAUAUUCUGCCUACUUGUUCUAUUAUUGAAAGUGCGAUAUUGAAGUCUCCAACUAUAAUUGUUGAUUUAUCUAUUUCACC